UGCACGCUUGACUGUAAGUCGCUUUGGAUAAAAUCAUCUGCUAAAUGGCAUAUA
rfam:Salmo salar isolate Sally breed double haploid chromosome ssa09, whole genome shotgun sequence.